rnacentral:sRNA from 1 species
CUUUUAAUCAAUUGGUCGCAGGUUCGAAUCCUGCACGACCCACCAUUCCACAGGUGGUCACAGGUAGAGAGUGUGAAGGAUAACGUUGCGUCAGCAACGGCCCGAAGGGCGAGGCGGAGCCGAGUCAUCCUGCACGACCCACCA